UUACUUAAGAGUUUGAUCCUGGCUCAGGAUGAACGCUGGCGGCGUGCUUAACACAUGCA
rnacentral:rRNA from 1 species